GACUGGAUAGGAGACAAGAGGGCAUCUUCUUGUUUUUAAAGACCUAGCAAUAGGUAUGCUUAGGGAGGAGCUUGCGUCACAUUAGUUAGUUGGUGGGGUAAAGGCCUACCAAGACUAUGAUGUGUAGCCGGGCUGAGAGGUUGAACGGCCACAUUGGGACUGAGACACGGCCCAAACUCCUACGGGAGGCAGCAGUAGGGAAUUUUCGGCAAUGGAGGAAACUCUGACCGAGCAACGCCGCGUGAACGAUGAAGUAUUUCGGUACGUAAAGUUCUUUUAUUAGGGAAGAAUAAAUGAUGGAAAAAUCAUUCUGACGGUACCUAAUGAAUAAGCCCCGGCUAACUAUGUGCCAGCAGCCGCGGUAAUACAUAGGGGGCAAGCGUUAUCCGGAAUUAUUGGGCGUAAAGGGUGCGUAGGCGGUUAAAUAAGUUUAUGGUCUAAGUGCAAUGCUCAACAUUGUGAUGCUAUAAAAACUGUUUAGCUAGAGUAAGAUAGAGGCAAGUGGAAUUCCAUGUGUAGUGGUAAAAUGCGUAAAUAUAUGGAGGAACACCAGUAGCGAAGGCGGCUUGCUGGGUCUUUACUGACGCUGAGGCACGAAAGCGUGGGGAGCAAACAGGAUUAGAUACCCUGGUAGUCCACGCCGUAAACGAUGAGUACUAAACGUUGGGUAAAACCAGUGUUGAAGUUAACACAUUAAGUACUCCGCCUGAGUAGUACGUACGCAAGUAUGAAACUUAAAGGAAUUGACGGGACUCCGCACAAGCGGUGGAUCAUGUUGUUUAAUUCGAAGGUACCCGAAAAACCUCACCAGGUCUUGACAUGCUUCUGCAAAGCUGUAGAAACACAGUGGAGGUUAUCAGUUGCACAGGUGGUGCAUGGUUGUCGUCAGCUCGUGUCGUGAGAUGUUGGGUUAAGUCCCGCAACGAGCGCAACCCUUAUUGUUAGUUACCAGCACGUAAUGGUGGGGACUUUAGCAAGACUGCCAGUGAUAAAUUGGAGGAAGGUGGGGACGACGUCAAAUCAUCAUGCCCCUUAUGACCUGGGCUACAAACGUGAUACAAUGGCUGUUACAAAGGGUAGCUGAAGCGCAAGUUUUUGGCGAAUCUCAAAAAAACAGUCUCAGUUCGGAUUG
rnacentral:rRNA from 1 species